rnacentral:tRNA from 1 species
GCGGGUAUAGCUUAAAGGCAAAGUAAAAGUUUUCCAAACUUUAGAAAAGGGUUCGAUUCCCUUUAUCCGCU